rnacentral:rRNA from 1 species
UACGAAGGGGGCUAGCGUUGCUCGGAAUCACUGGGCGUAAAGGGUGCGUAGGCGGGUCUUUAAGUCAGGGUUGAAAUCCUGGAGCUCAACUCCAGAACUGCCUUUGAUACUGAGGAUCUUGAGUUCGGGAGAGGUGAGUGGAACUGCGAGUGUAGAGGUGAAAUUCGUAGAUAUUCGCAAGAACACCAGUGGCGAAGGCGGCUCACUGGCCCGGUACUGACGCUGAUAUACGAAAGCGUGGGGAGCAAACAGG